AAAACCAAAAGGUGAACAUCGGUCAAUGUGAUUCCAAACCAGCGACUAUUUUUUUCUUCAGUUAAGCCUACCCGGCCUAAAGUAAGCCUAAAAUACGGUCAAAGCCAUAACAAUAUUAAUUUUCAUAAGCCUAAACCAUAUACAUAGUACAUGUUUUGAGUCCGAGUUUGGCAAACGUUCUGUGAGAGAAUAAUAGCUAAAUUCCAUAAUUAUAACUUCCUAGGUUUUUUGACAUCUUGAAUUUUAAAGCUUCUACGGUAUUUUUAAUUGCGUGUUUGUUCAGUUACAUCGUUAAGGGACAUCUUUAUAAAAUAAAGGCACUUUCAAAUUACGAUAUAAACAAAAUUAACAUGCUACAAAUAAGCAUUACACUACUACCAAGUGGGGUGUCGAAUUUACCCCCAUUGGCCGCACAAGUUUUAGUGACAUUUUAUAUUAUAUAGAUUAAUGUAAACAUUACGCCUUGUGAUACAGAACUAAUCAAUAGUAUUUAUAAAACAAUACUAUUAACAUGAAAACUAUAAUUUUGUUGAAAUAACGCCACAAUUCCUUAAGUCCCAGAAGUAAAAACUUACAUCGGCUGUCAAUCAGAACCACCAUGUGUUUAUUUUGUUGUUUUUUGACAAUUGACAGGUUUCUGAUCAGUGAAAUGUGACUCAAAUAUUCGAAACAGUUGACAUAAAUAAUAUGUAUAAGUUUUUUGUCUUCAAAAAGUUCUAUAAAUACAAAAACGGCAAGGUGUCAAACUUACCCGCAGUGUCGAACCAACCCCGACUUCCCCUAGUAGACUCUCAAUAUGAUAUCAGUUGCCAUUUUUUAAAUGGAACUUGGCCACGUAGACCGGAAAUGCAAUAUUUCUACCAAAGAAUAAUUGGAACAAGUCUUGUAGGAUGAGUGGAUAAAAAAUACGCCUUUUUAAAGGUUCAAAUGAGUUCUAACGUUGUGCAAGUAGUCACCAAUAGUCAUAAAUGCAAUAAGAAACAAGAUCAGGACAUUUUUUGAUUCCAUAACCUUUGUUUUCAUACGCAUAUUACGCCAAAAGUCUGAUAGACGAAUACUUUUUGCGUGCCCACCAAAGGACUUUUUUUAGUUUUUUAUGUAUUUUGGUUGAUAUUGCACUAUUUAAAUGCUUAUUUUUUAUCAAAACGUGUGUAUUGAUGGUCCCUUUAUCAAACCUCCUCAUUACUUUUAUCGCCCCAUGCCUAUUGCGGCCAUAAUUCGCCUUUUUCUGCAAAUAAUUCAGCUAGACGAAUAUUUCUUGGACUGACUGUAUGCUCAAAUUAGCAAUCGUGUGCGCAGUUUCCUAUAGCAACUGUUAAAGCUGCACACUAAAUGUUCUGUCUAUUUCUUGUUUGUAUGGACCUUUCAUUCACAUUUAGCCUCUGUAAUUUGAAAACCCCUCUUGUUCGACAGUCCCAUCGCCUCUCAAAUAAGAGAGAGUUGACUGUAUUCAAUUCUGAUUGUAAUUUGUAUCAUUGUUCUCCAUACGUUUCAAAAUACCAAAAACUAAGUCAGCGUUGCGUUUUCUACAGUCGAUGUGGUUGCUAUUGUAUGGAUGUAAACUAAGCAAAAAACAUCCAAGCUACCGCUGGAAAGUAAUGCUGAUCAGCAUUUACUAGAAUUUUAUAAUAGAGAUAGAGAUUCUUGUAGCAAUCUACGAUUCAAUCCAGUUUUCAUUAAACAUAAAUUCUUCAACUCGAAAUUACCGUAACAUAAAUCCUUAACACCGUAAGUGUUUACGAUGGAUCGAAAAUUUGAAACAACAUAUAGCCAAGACUACACUCACCGAUUAGAAAAUCGACAAUUAGCAUUGAACCAUAAGAUUGAUGCAAACCUUCUGGGCAGUUGCUUUUCACCACCUGUCGAAUGCACGGUGCCGGUGUUUUCUAUGGAUAAUCGUGCCGGAGAAUCUCCAUUGAAAUCGAGCUACCAGCUGGAUUACGACCGGCUACCAGAGCGAACAUCUUGUGUGAUCAAGAAUGCUGUUGAAUCGAGUCGUUGGCCUGAUUCUAGAUACUUCCAACGAGAGUUCAAAGGGUUUCCGUGCAACGGUGCAUCCUGUCAAUCUAGUACGCGAGGCCCUCAUCAAAUUUGCUCACAUGAGCCAGAAGUAGAAACUAAGAAGAAAUCUAAAUUUGGAUGUGUGUAUACCAUAUCGAAUAUACCCAAAAGUUAUAUUAUAUCAAGUCAUUGGCCUGAUCAAGAUUGGCAACGUAGUACACCAAAUAUGACGGAGUAUCGUGAUAAGGUGGGACGACUUGGAAGAACUUUGCAACGUGAAAACAUUCACGAUCAUAGUUGCUGCACAUCUGUCCGAAAUUGUCAUCAUCAUUUCUUUUUAUAAAUUAAUGAAUCAACACCUACGUGCCCAUACGCAAUAAUAAAUUACACGUAUAAAUAUCUGAUUUUAUGAGAACCCUUUUUUAUUGAAAAAAAAAACUGCGAACGAACAAAACGAACGAAUAAUUUUUGAGUACCAAAUAAUACACUUUUUUUGUUUUUGAUGAGCAAUCUAAAUCCGAAUUCACUUUAUAUUUCAUAUUUUUACAACUUUGUUGAUGUAAAUUCAUAUAUCGACUAAUGAGUAUACUAAUGCAAACGAUGGAAUUGUUUCUUGGAAUUGUUGGGAUUGUUCAAACUGUUAUCGUUGUCAAUUCAGGUUUCAGAUUUGACGCUCCUAAUAACAUUGUUGAUUCUAUAUUGCCCAUAUUGUUUGUCUGUCAAAUUGGAUCUUAAGCUCAAAUUCAAAUUGUACCAUAUUUCAUGCGAAAACAUGUUUGUUCACUCAUAUAUGUUGUUCCAAACAACGAAAUGUAUCUAUGUGCAAAAUCCUUCAUCUUUGGGAAAACCUUUUUUUGAUAAGACCAUGUAAAAUUCAAUUAAACCUUCUAUAAACUUGUCUUUCAAGUAGUCUUUCGCAUCUAAUAUCUAAAUAUUUAGCACACAUCGCUUGAAUUAUGUGUACGGUGAAUCAUAUAAUGCUCAAGCAUAGGCUGCAGAAUAUAUUUUUUUGCAUUCCUCUUUCUUUUGUCCUACCAAACUUUUAUUUGUACCACUACCAUAUUUCGUCCAGUACCAGUACCAUAUUUCUUCCUCCAUCAACAGUUACACAACCAAGGUUACUCCAAAAAAUAUUGUUCUUUAAAAAAGCUUAAAGCAACUGGGUGAACAUAUCUCCCCCGGUAACGGUGCCAUUCAUGCCUUGCAAGACAGCCAAUUAUUGUGUACAAAUCAUAUUUUCAUCCAAUCAUCGGAUGAACACAAGAAGCUGCUAUUUUGAUUGAAUGUCCAACGAUUCGUUAACCGUUGAUCGUUAAUCCAUAACUCCCUAUCUGCCAAUCUCCAUAGAAAUCUCCAUCCAUCAUGGCUACCAAAAUCAGAGCUAAGAACCCGCCUAUAGUCUAUCUAACUGCUUUUAACAAAAUUAGUAAAAUUUAAUAAACUCACAAGACAUUGUUCACAUCUGAAAAUUCAUGCCGAUUUUUUUCACUGCACCACAACUUCAAAAACUGGCAUAACAAUUUUGAUGUUUAAAAUUCUAUCAAUUAAAUGAUUAAUUACUCAACUACAAUUGAAUAAUUUUGGAGCACACAAUUCAACAUAAAGCAAUUUACUUACAGUCAAAAAUUGAUGCCUGAUAGACGAACUCUGAUGCGUUCUGUCAAAAAUUGAUGUCUUAGAGGCAAAAAUUGUAACACGCUGUCGAAAAUUUGUACAUUAAAAGCAAAAAUAGGUGGGUUAGCACUAACAUUUAGUUGCAGAGACUGUAUCCAAAAUCUCUUAAAAGCGAAAAACAAAGGUGCUUUUUGUUGAAUUUGAAAGGCAUUACAUGUUUUUUUGUCAUGUAUUAUGCCAUUCGGCUGACGAUGUAUUUUGAAAUACACCUCUUAACCCGCACCUCUCACAGUUUUCCGGAACGAAUUUGAAUGCUACCGUAUGUAUACCAUUUGAUUGCAAACGUUCUUUGAUAAAAGUGAAAAUUUUAUUCAGGAUAAAAGUGCAUGAAAGUGUCGUUGUAUAUUGUAGCGCUCCAGUGAUAUUGUAGCGCUCCAAGAAUAUUGUAAACUAAGUGAAAGAGUGCGCUGCUUUUAAUGUAGCCAGUGGAACAGAUAAAACCAUGUAAAAUAUAACGCUGUCAAAAUAAACGCUUUGAUGCUAUGAGUAGAAGUCUUUCAAGGAUUGAGGAAUAACAUUUAAAUAAUAAUAAAGUGUUUGAAAGAUUCGGAUACCGACAUGCGAUGGUACUUUUAGGGCGAUUUAAAUUAUUCCUCUAAGCACUUGUAUUUUGGUGUUUAGCUGAACUGAUAGGCGUUAGUCGGGUACGUGGUAGGCUUUUUUGAAUGAUAUACAUUUUACGGAGUAGCUGGAUUUGCUCUUGGCUCGAAACAUGAAUAAAAAUAGUUACUGCUGUAAGGGAUAAUUUACUAGUUAUUGCACACCACCAAAUUAUUUCACAAUGUGUAUAAAUUGUUAUGUUUUCAAAUAUUUAUAAAACAUUGAUAAAAGAAAGCAGCUUAUCCUUGAAUAUUGAGCAUUUCUGCCGUACAUUCCAUUCAUUUUUUUGUUUAAUUUGAUAUGUUUUUUUUUUAAAUAUUAAUAAUAAAAUUAACCAAUACCGAUCAAACCGAAUGAAUUUGUCAGAUGAAACCGUUAGGAUUUAAGUACCACAAAAUAAAUUUUAUUUCAUCCUAUGAACCAGCAAAAUGGUAUAAUUUGAAUGAAAUUACAUAAAUUUAAAUAUUUCUUACGUAGCGGUAGCUAUAGAUUCAACUUUUAGCAAAAAAAUACACUUUAGGGCACUGUUCAAUAAUUGGAACAAACAAGCCAUGUUUAAAUAGAACAAUUUCGGCUUGAAAACUCCGUCAAAAUCAUUGUUUUCCAUGGCAUCGAGCAGAGUUCGAAGAAUCUUUUUUGUGCAAUUUUUGCCAAGCGCUGUCCCGUUAAACAUUGCAAGGGUUGCGAGUAAUAUAAUCUGCUCGAAAUCUUAUGGUAUUUUUAAUAAACUUUAUUUUUUAUUCAUUUUUCUUGCGGUGUUUUUUGUCGAAAAGAUCACUAUUUUAAGUUUUGAUGUACGCUUGCAACUCUCUCAUUAGUAAAACGCCUUUUCGCAAAGCUCCGUAAAAAGUGAUAGGAGGUGAAAGAGAGAUGAGUGUCGGAGAUGGGAGAAUGCGUUUCGCAUCAGUUUCGCAGCCUUACCCGAAAAAUCGCCAAAAGAGGAGAUCUGAUGAUCUACUGACCUCCAAUAUUCUGGAGCCCAAUGAAGAGCUUGUACACCUUCACCUUAGUCCUGUGCAUGAUGCUGUGUUUGCCCAAAUGCACACUUUGGAGCAGGCACAAGCCAUCGUCGAGCUGAUCCACGAUUACGUGAUGAUUCAUCAUCGAUAUUUGACAAUGUUGCGAACAAGUCAAAUGUACCAGUUAAGCUUUAUUUUAUUACAGUCAGGGUACGUAGGGCACUCUACCAUCAGUGUCACACUCUACUAUCAGUUUUGCGAUCCACGCUCAGUUUCGAUAUCUUUGACGUCAUAUAUCUUUGACAUCGUAAUAAAUUUGAACAUCGUAAAACACCGUGGUAUCAUGUAUACCACAUCCUGCUUGCAAGGUAGUGUAACUCACUACACCCACAUUGAUGUUACGUUCUGGCUUUGUGUUUGUGACUGAUUAUGGUUCUGAUUGGUGAUUAGCAUUUAUGGAUUGAAUGUUUUAACAUACCAGUGACCUUGAAGAUGAGGAAAUCGUGACGAAUCCGUAAUUGAAGUCGGUGCUGAUCAAUGAGUGUCCGCGCCUUUUCCGAUGUGGCUAUUUUAUAACCAUGCCAACCGAUAGUUAUGAAGCUAAUUUAAACAAACGUAUAGUUAGUGUCGUGUCCAUCCGAAUUUUUUUCUUCUACCAGGAGCCCAGCGGAUUUGAUAGUAUAGCUAAAGGAUUCAAACACCGCAGUCCAGGUAGUUCAGCUAGAUAUAUUAUUCUGUUGUACUGAAAUCCGGAUGGUGGCAAUAGACACUUUGAAUGACUCAUGUGUCGAGGACGGGCGAAUCAUUCCCUGUCAGUCAGGUACCUGUAAGCGAAAGGCAGUCCGGCAUUAGGAAGGCAACGCUCUCAGUGGUUAGAGGUAAAGAAGGUCCUGACGUUGCAGACAACGAUGAAGACAAAGAUAGAAGGAAGCAUCUAUGGAACGAGCAUCCUGGUCAUAUUUGAAGGAUGAAACAAUGCAACCAUACGCUCACGCUCUUUUCUGCAGAACGCUUACUGCAUUUGACAAGUAGUGUGUCACAAUGAGACCGAUAAGAGGAUCAAUUCUUCAAUCAAUCAAUCAAUCAAACUUUAAAUGUAAAAGAACUUUUUUAAUCUAUUAUACACAAUACUUAAAGACAGGUGAACAACGUCCGUUCAUCUCGAAGGUUACAGGAAAGAGGCCGUGAUUGGCUGCUUUUCGAUGCAUGUCUGUAACAAAAGAGUAUAACAUACUGACUCUGUGACAGUUGCACACACGCUCACCCAAAAUUACACUAAGUCCGACAAUACUGUAAUGUCGGCAUAAUCUUCUUCUUCUUUGGCACAACAACCGCUGUAGGUUAAGGCAUGCCUGUACCCACUAGUGAAGCGAGCUUGGCUUUCAGUGACGUAUUGUUAUCAUAGCAGGAUAGUCAGUACUACGUAUGGGGGCACGGUCUAUUCGAGACUUGAACCCAUGACGGGCAUGUUGUUACGUCGUACGAGUUGACGACUGUACCACCAGACCGGCCCCAUCGGUAUAAUACAAAAAAUGAAUAUAUGUAGCUUUAUGAAAUAUUCACAUAGUUGGACGUCGUGUUAGGCGAUUUUGGAACCAUUUAUUUUCCGGAACCUCUUUUUAGCUAAGAUUUUUAAUUUUUUUACAGAAACUUUGAGCUCAAUUGGAAUAAUUCUCCUCUUUAAAUCAAGAAUAAAAUCUGAUGUAAAGUCUGCUUUGUAAGUCAUCACCUGCGAUCAGUAUCAGUCGAUUGUGGUACGAUAUUCUCUUCUCUCAUUGUUCAGUUUUGGAUAAAAUUGGCCGCGUCAAAUUGCAUCAACCGCCAAGUUUGUUCAAAUUUUGUCACACGUGCUUGUAUGCCAUCGCACACAUUUGAAUCCGCCAACCGCGAACAGUCAUUGGCGACACAACCGGUCCGUAUGACAUUCAUAUGCGAGAGAAAGACUACAAGAGGAAAAUAAUGAGUGCCAAUGAUGAACGCCAAUGAACGGCUGCCUCGAACACCAUUCAGGUUGACAAAGGAGUAAGGAGAAGCUUAAGGGCGGGGUGAUCAAAAGCUCUACUCGAGACCAUCGCAAUAGGAGGGACGUAGAUCGCACAAGAAAAAGAGCGAGAGGCCGCAAUUUUUUCGAUCGCCUUGCCCAGUGGGCGGCUUCGUGCAACAACACCGAUCUUACGCUCAAGCUGCAUCCCUGAGCCGGAAUCGAUUCCGAUAGAUUCGCAUCCAACUCCGGGGUGCGUUGUGAAAUGAAUCGUUUGACUCAGUAAUGGUCCACAGUACUCAUACACAGCAUGCCCAAAAACAUUUUUAUUGUUGCGGCAGUGAAUUUCCUCAUUGAUACUUACUAACUUACUUAUCCGGCGCUACUUCCUCUUAACGGUCCUGGCCUGCCUCAGGAGUGUCCGAAACCACUCACGGUCUCACGCCUUCUUCUGUCAAUCCGUUAUCCCAGCUUUAAUGGUAGACGCCUCCACGCCAUCUUACCUCCACAAUGUAGGUCUACAACGCCUCCUCUGUUCUUGCGGACGGCCUAAAAAGACUUUACGGGCUGGGUCGUCCGUUUCCACGCGUACAACAUGGCCAGCCCACCGAAGCCUGGCGAGCUUGAUACACUGCAUGACAUGAAGUCCGCCGUACAUCUCGUAUAGCUCGUCCUUAUAAUGGCUCUUCCAUUGUUCUUCCACUCAUUUGUUAUUUGUAAUUUAUUAUUUAAAAUUUAACGUACUUAACGUAAUGUAACGUAAAAUUUAACGAGUGGCCCACAUGGAGCGAAUUCGCUUUCAUUCAUUAUAUGAAAGUCACGUUUCGUUCAUCGAUUUGACAUAGCAGCGGUCCAAGGUUACUCCCUUGCAGCAUCCCCGAAGAAGCAUCAAUACGGUGCGACGUAUGGGGUCCAAUCUUCACGCAGUAUGUGCGCCUGGCAAGAGGAAUGCAUCCAGGCUAGCAGCAGCACGGUCUGGCUAAGCGUUUGGAGCUUUGCAAGCAGAAAAGUGUGCGGAACGCUGCUGAAGGUAGCCUUAAUGUCCGUGUAGACUACUUCGAUCUGCGAGCCGGCACCGAUGGUCCUGUGGCAGAGGCUAACGAACUCAACCAUUGGUGGUGGUUGAACGCUGAGGGACAAAUCCAUGUUGAGCUGCGCUAAUGUAGUUCGAGGCAGCUGCUAGGAGAGGUUCGUACAGCAGGAGCUCGAAGACCUUAGCGCAGGCACAAAGCGAUGUAAUGCCAAGGUAAUUACAUGCAUUUGAUUUGUCCCCCUUUUCGUGCACUGGAACAAGCCACGAAGUUUUCCAGCAGGCAGGAUAGAUGCCCGAACGCAGCGAGUCGCGAAAAAUUGAGACCAGGAUAGGCGCGAUGGUGGUACCACAACGCUUAAGCGUGGAAGCCGGGAUCCCGUCAGGCCCUGGAGCAAACGAAGGUUUCAAACUGUCAAUCGCUUUCGAGACUGAAUACUCAUCAAUGAUCGGCAAGUUGGGGGCCAUAGCAUCCAGUGGUACGUUUGAUAGUGCGUCGGCUAUCUGCCUUUCAUCAGUUACCGCUGGAAGGAAAGUGGCACCACAGCGUGAGGCAAAAAUAUCGCAAACAGCGGAAGGAUUUUUGCCGUUGCGUCCGUUGUAACUGAUGAAGAUGGGAAAACCAGAGGAUUUCCGGCGAUUGUUUAUGAAGUUCUAUCUUCUUCUUCUUCUUUGGCACAACAACCGUUGUCGGUCAAGGCCUGCCUUGUACCCACUCCAGUGAAGUGAGCUUUGGCUUUCAGUGACUUAUUGUUACCAUAGCAGGAUAGUCAGUCCUACGUAUGGGGGCACGCUCUAUUCGGGGCUUGAACCCAUGACGGGCAUGCUAUUAGGUCGUACGAGUUGACGACUGUACCACCAGACCGGUCCAACCGGCGAAGUUCUAUAGUACACGAUAAUUACCGCGGCCGCACAAAACUGUACGCCGUACGUGCCACAGGUAGCAGAAACUGUUAUAGCGCCGAUAGACAGAGUGCGCAUUAUUAUAGUUGCGCAUUGCAGCGGGACACCUACGCAACAGAUAAUCGCGAUACGCGGCAGCUUUAGCCGUUUUGAGCCUGCGCAGCGUUCUGUCACCCCAACAGCUUACGAUAGGCGAACUAGGCGGUCGCCUGGGGCCCCGCCGAUUCAGGGGUCCCGUACAUCGUUAGUCUAUAGUAUGCAGUACUCUACGAACAAAUGUGGGCCACGCGAAGGAUGCGGCCUUGUGAGUCUAAACCGCUCAAGUAACAGCGAUCUUCUCAACCGUUCGACACCAAUAAUUAACCUUCUCGCUAGUUGCUCUCUCAAGUAAUUUGAGGAGCCUAUGCCGCAAAAGAGGGACGAGAAAUUUCUUUCUUGAUCCGAAUAUGCAAUAUUAAAAAAGACGAGGUUUCUUAGAGUUGCAAAAUCCUUUAUUCAAUGUUCGGUCCCUUUUAUACCCCCGGAAGCCCAUACAAUUUUAGGGUGUUAGUGUAUCCUUUCCGAGGAUAAUUAGUACAUAAGUGUACGUACGCGUGAGUACCGUGUGUUUGUGUUUGUGACGCAUAUUUAUUCCGCUUUUACACGCAGUGUACCCGGUUUCUAGAUUAAGGUGACCGCGCACCACGCGAAAUUACUGUUUGGCACAUUCGUUACAGAGUUAAUAAUCGCGAACGUAACACCCCAAGUAGCAGAGCCGAAGUUGUUGAGAGGUUUUUCUGUGAGCCAAAGCGAGAGGCCCUGUAUUCUCUCUUUAGAUUUUGGACGGCAAACCGCCGCCCGUGUAGAGGUGUGUGCGUGUGACGAAAAAUUAUGGAUGAAAUACGGGGGAAGCGGGGUUUGAAGUCUUUCGUUCCUCACACAUACAUGAAUUUACCAGCGAAUAUCGCUGGACCGAGUGUACCCAUCUCUCUCGAUCCACCAUGAUUUUUCUGCUAUCGCGCUCAUCCGGGUGUUAGGCAUCCUCAGUCUGUCCAGAACUGUCCCUAUGGAAGGAUGUACUGAAGAAAGGUGUGGUUUCUUGUGCGACGUUCUUUGCUCAUUUACGUUUUGUGCCGUGUUCUUCCUCAGUUAUGUUCUUCCUCAGAAUGAUUUAUCCUAGCAAAUUGUUGAGGUAAGUUUCUGGCUGUGUGCUUGUGCAGGUACAUUCAACUAACCCUUGGCGUCUAAAAAGUUACAGGUGUGUGCGCUAUUUAUCAACGACUACCUGUUAGCCUCGUCAACAAUCUUCAAAGUGAGCGACGGAAAGAAAACGUUUUCCAGUUUUAAAAUAUUAAGGUAAGUUUUGAUCUAAUCCUCUGCGCUAAACUCUCCAUAGUAAUACAUACUACUUACAUUCAUUAUUGCUUCAUUGAGCCUCCGGUGAGGGCGUCAUUACUUAACAGAAGCCGGUUCAACACGCGCAGCUCCUGUUCAUGACGUCAUCACGAAACUGAAGCCAGCUGAACACGCGCAGCACGGAUGGUACCCCGAGCGCAGUAGGAGGAAGGAAGAACGAGAGGAGGAAGAACGGUAAAUUUGGAAGGGGGAAAGCGUUCUACCGUCUACACAGCGGGAGUAUGCCAAAACACAUAUGGGAAGGGAGAGGGAUAUUAUUCAAUAAACAGCAUGCGAAUGUGUGCAUAAAGCAAAUGUGAACAGCCUCAUCAUUUUUAUAAGCAAUUCGAAAAAGGGGGUGGAGCAAACACAUUGGUAUGCGUGAGCGGCUGAAGAAACCAAAACGUUUAGAUGUGUGCGUGACGGAUGGUUCGGGCGCCUGUGGCGAAGCUCUCGACAAACCUGCAAACGAGAGCUUUGUGGAGAGCUUUGUAGGGAACUCAGAUUACACAGGCCGCCGUCGGUUUUUGCGUCCUUGGGACGUAGAGUUAAGCGGAGAAACGGUGUAAAAAAAAGGAUGCGAGAGAAUCAGAAUACCCGCCAUGCAAUUGACCCGUCAAACAUUGCGAGGGUUGCGAAUGAUAUUAUCUGUUCGAAAUCUUGUGGUAUUUUAAAUAAUCAUUGAUUUUUAUUCAUGGAUUAUUUUUUCUGCGGUAGUAUUUGUCGAAAAGAUCACUAUUUAAAUUUUAGUGGAUUUUUUAAAAUAAAAUGUCAAAAUUCAAGUGUUUAGUUUUACAAUUUGCACUGUUAUACCUGCUCUCGGGGUGCUAUAAUUAUAACUGCUAAAACUAGCGGCGAAAAAAUUGCCUAGGCUCGCAAGCUCUUUAAUGCGAGGGCUCUGGGACGGUGAACUUGUAUGGCUUGCGAGCUCUCGCGCGCCCUCGCAAAUCGCUGUCAAUUGCAUGGCGGGAUAUACAAGCGGAAAACCAUCUGUCAAAACCAGAGCCCAGGGGGGGGGAUCGCCAAAAGCGCUAUAACUACACCUCAUUAUACAUUCCACCUUGCUCCUACGCCAAAUUUGUCAAGCAGCUCCUCGAGCUACCCGUCCCUGGCUUCGCCUCCUACCCCUCACCUGAGCGUGCUGUCGAAGGUUUGGAUGUGUUGGUGCGUCAGACGGCCAAUCGCUGUCAGCCGUCCCCGACAGACAAAGAGAACGAAAUUUUCAGGCGAGGGGUAGGUAGAAACACGCGUUGGGGGUCCGGCCCGAAAUCGGAUCCAAAGUCCGUUGUUUUGGGCUGAGAAUUAAAAAUGGUGGAUGGAGCGCUACCACGGAGAGAAUGCGCUCUCUUGCUUGCCUUUAAAAUACACGAGGCGCUCUCGCUGUAAAGAACGCUCGCUCGCGCUGUUUCAUCAUACCCCUACCUCCCCGUUUCUUUCGGCUUGCGCUGCGCUGAACUGGUACCCACUCCCACUUGAUUCCAGCGAAUUGCGCUGCGCUGGACUGACACCCCCUCCCGCUCGUUUCUUUCGUAGCACGCUGUGCCCUUCCCUUCAUUCGGACUUGGUGCACCCGAAUCAAAACAAAAACUUGAACACAUCAAACUUGGUUUAUAUUUUAUCACAUUUAUUGCAAAUAAAAGCACAUUUAAAUACAUUGCUUCACACAAUCUUGCUUCAAACCACACACAUUCAUUAUAUAAAAAAAUCGACGUAUUUCAAAUAACCGUCUAACUGCGUGGAUCCCGUUGUUGAUGUUCAAUACAGC